AGGCUUGUGUCUCAAUAGAGGAUGGGUAUCUACCUAAAGUUACUUUUGUAGUGGUCCAAAAGAGACAUCACACCCGUCUCUUUCCUGUCAACCCCAAAGAGACCGAUAGAAGUGGAAAUAUUAUGCCAGGAACCGUGGUAGACACCAGCGUUUGUCACCCUAGGGAAUUUGAUUUUUACCUUAACAGCCAUGCAGGAAUUCAGGGGACUACUUAUGCUGCCAUUUGUUGUUUUGGUUGAGCCUUAUUUUGUAUGGAUGUGCGAUAGAACUACUAGACAGCUUUUGGAUAUACAGAACAUGUUUGCCACCAUGGGUGGAUGGGCGUUUUUGUUUAGUAUUGGUUAGAACUACUAGACAGCUUUUGGAUACAGUGGUCACUGGGUGU